ACUGACCGUGACCUUGAGGACCACAGUAUAAAGCAGGCCACAUCUCACCGAGGUGUUGUUCCGUUACGGUCGUCCUGAAGUCAGCGGACAACUUUUUUUUUUGUUCGUUCCCUCGCCUCGUCUGUCUCGCUGGCGCGUCGGGUUGUUGCGCCGGAGAGGAGCGGCCGCCGCGUCGCGCUUUGACGUGAUGGAAUGCGGGGAGGCUGCAUCGUUCUUACCCAAGUCGGACCCGGGGACGUCACGCAAUGCGGCUUUUGACGAGCCUGGGGCCCCGAUGAAGCAUCCAUCGAGCUCACCGGGGACACGUUCAAAGAUGAGAGGGCUCCGUCAGUGAAGGAGUACAACGUGAUCGAAGAACGAGGCUUCAUGCUGCGCAACCUGCUGCUCCGCCUGGUUGAUUUAUGCUCAUCCUCGGCACCCCGGUGGACGAGAAGAACUGUCGGCAUGCGCAGUCAAGGCCUCAUACCUGAUGGUGUGUGCUGAAUGUGCUGAAGGGACACAACGUCUAACAGCUCAACAGCUCUGAGCAGCUGUGCAUCAACUUCCACCACAUGUUCAUCGUGGAGCAGAAGUACCAGAGGAAGGACAGCGAAUGGACUGUCAUCGACUUCGGGCUGGACUCUCAAGCCUACAUUUAUCUCCUUGUAAAGUUUCCCAGCACAAGAUCGGCGGCGAGGAGGAGAAGACGGCAGCCGCUCUCCAGGCCGCGUCCCAGCUUCACGAGGAAAACCUGAGCGAGCUGAUGACCGACCUACGCAGCUCCCGGCCUCACUCUGUUCGCUGCGUCAUCAGUGAUGAGAUCCGCGUGGCGAAUCCAAGUGCUAUCGCGUCCUGAUGGUUUUUGGACAGCAGGAAAGCUGUGCAGAAGCUGCUGUCCUCGUGGGGACCGACCACAGCCAGCAUGAGUCUGGACUCACAAAAAGUGAGGCUCUGAUGAUUAACGCCGUCGAGCCGACGCGCCCUGGAUGAAGCGCUUUCAGGAGCAGGACUCCGCAUCUUGCGGAUGCUGAGGAUCGCUGUAAGCUACUCAUCCAAACGAAGGUUGCCACGGAGGCCAAGGGGAAAGAGAUCGUGGCUAGAAGGACGAGGAGACGAUGACCAAGAAGCUAAAGCUGGAGGACAACGGUGCUGAGCUGAAGAGACAUUGAUGAUGUGGAGAUCACACUGGAUAAACGUGCCACUGAGAACAAGGAAGGACUGAAAUGAAUGCAAUCCGCUCCAGAAUAGGAGAUGAGCUAGCCAAGCUAAGUGGAGAAGCAGCGAUGCGAUGUGGCACGUGAGCUAGAAGCACUGAGCCCACUUUGGCUCAGACAAGAGAGAAGCAGAUCUACUGAAGCUGCUGCGAGACCAGCAGGAAACAGGUCCACCACGAGGCCGCUACGGCUACACGCUUGACAGUGUCAGAGCGACAUCAAGCGAGGUCAACUGUUGGUUGAUGAUCAGACCUCCAGGCAAGACCACUUCAGAGAAGAUGUCCAUCCUCCUGAUUGGUCUCCUAAGGCCAAAAAAGUCCUGGCACACACACUGCAAUCACCUCGAUAUAAAUGUCGUCUCCUGAAGGAGCAGGAAGCCUCAGCUGAGAUGGAGAGACGUUCCACGCCAACGCUCCUCAGUGGAGGACUAAGUAUGAAACUGAUGCCAUCCAGAGAAUUUAGGCCCUCUAUGAAGCCAAGGUGGAUGAGACGAGCUGAAGGUGCAGGUGCCAACGACCGAGUGGCGCACCAAUCUAUCAGACUGCUGAGGGGGAGGAGCGAAGCGCUCUGCUGAGGCAGAACGACCGUGCGUGCAAGCGAGCUGAGCUGCUUGAGGCCACAGACUCAACCUGUUGCUCUCAGGCAGUGAUGAUGGCAAAGGAGCUGAAGAAGGAGCAGGACACUAGUGCCCAUCUGGAGAGGAUGAUGAAGAAGAAGAACAAAGGUAAGGCCGAUGAGUGGACAAAGCGGAGCAGAUCGCCCUCAAGGGCGGCAGAAAGAAGGUCCAGAAGUUGGAGUUGAAUGAAUUGUUUAUAAUCUCUGUCAUGCAUGAAUAUUCCUCGUAUUAGUUUGUAACUUGAAAUGGCUUCUUCAGUUUUCUGGUCUGAAAGGUAAAAACUGGAGUAUGAGGAGAAUCAGGGAGCUCUCCUACCAGGUACAGCAGCAGGGUGGUCGCAUAGAAAUACAUGCUGUAGUGUCACAUAACAUGUCUUUAUAUGAGAUGCCCUUAUGCUCUCUAAAAGGUUAGGAACCAGUCCGCCUUCAGCUCAUGGACAAGCUGCAGACCAGGUUGAAGAGUUACAGGCUGAAGCAUCAGAGGAGCAGGCAAACACCAACCUCCAAAACCAGCAUGAUGAUGCACAGGGGGGCUCAUACGGCCGAAUCACAGGUCAACGACAUCCAGAUCCACACCCGGGACCGGGAAGAAGAGUAAACUGAAUGCAUGUCAUACUACAGUAUGCCGCCAAAUUGUGUGACCUUUUUAGAAGUAUUUGUUCAACGUAGCCAGCGGGCUGCAUAACGAGAACUAAUCUCAGGCGAGACCGGACGUAAUCCUCCGUUGAGGAUGAACUCCCAUCAUGUGAUCUCUAGCGCAGCCGGGAGUAACUGGGCGACACUGUGUAUGCGGUUGCUAAUAAACAGCCCUGUCUUGUGUAUUUCAGCAUGCUGAGUGACGGGAGGCGGAGAGCUACGGACAAACAUGUCACAGCAAGCCAGCUGCAACAGCUGUGCUCCACUGUGACAACACGGCCCAAAUAAAGACUUCAGAAAUGUA